AAAGAGCCUGGGAUCAAGGCCACGCCACGUUUCCGCGUGUGCGGUCCGCAGCCUCUUCACAGUCGAAUAACGAUCUGAGCGAAGGUGCAGGCUCCAGAGAAGCUGCAGAAGCGAAAAAAAGCAAAAAGCACAUUUUCUUGGGCAAGUCUACUGAUCCAAGACAUCCACAGUUCUGGGGAAAACACUGGAAGGUCAUUUGUCAAGUGUCUUCUAGUUCUAACACUGAAAACACGUUUCUGCAGCAGUUGAGCCCCCACAGAACCCUUUAAGACGAUGAGAAGACUGAGAUUUGUCGAGGUCACGUGAUUGCUCUCAACCACCCAGCUCUGAAGAGGCUUGAGAGCUGUGCCUGUCAUCCCUGUCAUUGUCCGCCUGUGUGAUCUUGGGCAGGUUAUUUAAGCUUUCUGAGCCUCAGUUUCCUCAUCCACAAAAUGGUGCAAAGCGAUUUCUACUUUACAG
rnacentral:lncRNA from 1 species